UACGUAGGGGGCGAGCGUUAUCCGGAAUUAUUGGGCGUAAAGAGUACGUAGGUGGUUUUUUAAGCGCAGGGUUUAAGGCGAUGGCUCAACUGUCGUUCGCCCUGUGAACUGGAAGACUUGAGUACAGGAGAGGAAAGCGGAAUUCCUAGUGUAGCGGUGAAAUGCAUAGAUAUUAGGAGGAACACCAGUGGCGAAGGCGGCUUUCUGGACUGUAACUGACACUGAGGUACGAAAGCGUGGGGAGCAAACAGGAUUAGAUACCCUGGUAGUCCACGCCGUAAACGAUGAGCACUAGGUGUCGGGGUCGCAAGAUCUCGGUGCCGCAGUUAACGCAUUAAGUGCUCCGCCUGGGGAGUACGCACGCAAGUGUGAA
rnacentral:rRNA from 1 species